AAACUCUGGAUGAAAUUGGUGAUGACAUAGAUGGGAUGGCUACUGGAUCACAGCAACUCCCUGAUGCUUCCACAUUGCGAGUUCUCCCACUUAGAAAUCAUGGAGGGAUCUGAAAUUUUCAGCGUUGGUACAUGUCCACUGUGAGAGACAGAAUCUAAAAGAAAAUUCCGGAAAUCACAAUGUAUGAUUUUAUUAAAAUAUUUUUGUAUAUUACUGCUUAAAAUAAGUAUUUGAACACUUGCUUAUCAUGCAGAUUUCUGACCCUCAAAGACCUGUUAUUCUGCUUUUAAACAGUCCAACUACACUCUGCUCAUGAUUCUAAUUUAGCAGCACCUGUUUGAUGCCGUUAGCUUUCAUAAAGACACAUGUGCACCCCACAAUCUGUCAAAAGUGUUGCAACAACAUGAGUAAAACCAAAGAGCUGUCCAACGACACAAGAGACAAAACUUUAGACCUUCACAAAGCUGGAAAGGGCUCCAGAGCCACUGCCAAGCAGCUCGGUGCGCGACA